UACGGGAGGCAGCACUGGGGAAUAUUGCACAAUGGGCGCAAGCCUGAUGCAGCCAUGCCGCGUGUAUGAAGAAGGCCUUCGGGUUGUAAAGUACUUUCAGUCGUGAGGAAGGUGUUAAGGUUAAUAACCUUAGCAAUUGACGUUAGCGACAGAAGAAGCACCGGCUAACUCCGUGCCAGCAGCCGCGGUAAUACGGAGGGUGCGAGCGUUAAUCGGAAUUACUGGGCGUAAAGGGCACGCAGGCGGUUAAUUAAGUUGGAUGUGAAAUCCCCGGGCUUAACCUGGGAAUGGCAUUCAAGACUGGUUAGCUAGAGUCUUGUAGAGGGGGUAGAAUUCCAUGUGUAGCGGUGAAAUGCGUAGAGAUGUGGAGGAAUACCGGUGGCGAAGGCGGCCCCUGGACAAAGGCUGACGCUCAUGUGCGAAAGCGUGGGGAGCAAAC
rnacentral:rRNA from 1 species